GCCCUGGCUAAAUAUGUGCCAGCAGCCGCGGUAAUACAUAUGGGGCGAGCGUUAUCCGGAUUUAUUGGGUGUAAAGGGUGCGUAGGCGGGAAAACAAGUCAGUUUGUGAAAUCCCUCGGCUUAACUGAGGAAUUGCAGUUGAAACUAUUUUCUUGAGUAUCGGAUGGGCAAGUGGAAUUUCUAGUGUAGCGGUGAAAUGCGCAGAUAUUAGGAAGAACACCAGUGGCGAAGGCGACUUGCUGGACGAAAACUGACGCUGAGGCACGAAAGUGUGGGUAGCAAACAGGAUUAGAUACCCUGGUAGUCCACACUGUAAACGAUGGAUACUAGUUGUUGGUGUUAAAAUCAGUAACGUAGUUAACGCAUUAAGUAUCCCACCUGGGAAGUACGACCGCA
rnacentral:rRNA from 1 species